rnacentral:rRNA from 1 species
CCUACGGGAGGCAGCAGUGGGGAAUUUUCCGCAAUGGGCGCAAGCCUGACGGAGCAAUGCCGCGUGGAGGAAGAAAGCCUGUGGGUCGUAAACUCCUUUUCUCAGAGAAGAAGCUCUGACGGUAUCUGAGGAAUCAGCAUCGGCUAACUCCGUGCCAGCAGCCGCGGUAAUACGGAGGAUGCAAGCGUUAUCCGGAUUGAUUGGGCGUAAAGCGUCUGUAGGUGGUUACGCUAGUCGGCUGUUAAAGAUCAGGGCUGAACCCUGAGCAAGCAGUCGAAACUGCGUGGCUGGAGUACGGUAGGGGCAGAGGGAAUUCCCGGUGUAGCGGUGAAAUGCGUAGAUAUCGGGAAGAACACCAAAGGCGAAAGCGCUCUGCUGGGCCGAAACUGACACUGAGAGACGAAAGCUAGGGGAGCGAAUGGGAUUAGAUACGCCAGUAG